CCCUUAGAUGUUCUGGGCAGCACGCGCGCUACAAUGGUCUUCGCAAACGGAUGCAUUCUCGAAGGAGAAUGCCAAUCUUGGAAUCUAUGCCUUGGUCGGGACAGUUGCUUGCAAUUUUUCGACUCGAACCAGGAAUUCCUUGUAAUCGUGAUUCAUCACAUCACGAUGAAUACGUCCCUGCCCUUUGUACACACCGCCCGUCGCUCCUACCGAUCGAAGAGUUAGGUGAAUUGUUUUGAUCGAUAAGAUUUGACUAUGGUCAACUCUCGUUGUGAAAUUCUGUGUAUCUGACUGUUUAGAGGAAGGAAAAGUCGUAACA
rnacentral:rRNA from 1 species